rnacentral:misc_RNA from 1 species
UCUCCGUUGGUGAACCGGCGGAGGGAUCAUUACCGAGUUUACAACUCCCAAACCCAAUGUGAACCAUACCAAACUGUUGCCUCGGCGGGGUCACGCCCCGGGUGCGUCGCAGCCACGGAACCAGGCGCCCGCCGGAGGGACCAACCAAACUCUUUCUGUAGUCCCCUCGCGGACGUUAUUUUUACAGCUCUGAGCAAAAAUUCAAAAUGAAUCAAAACUUUCAACAACGGAUCUCUUGGUUCUG